rnacentral:rRNA from 1 species
UACAGAGGUCCCAAGCGUUGUUCGGAUUCACUGGGCGUAAAGCGUGCGCAGGCGGUUUUGUAAGUCUGUCGUGAAAUCCCCGGGCUCAACCUGGGAAUUGCGAUGGAGACUGCAAGGCUAGAAUCUGGCAGAGGGGGGUGAGAAUUCCACGUGUGAGCAGUGAAAUGCGUAGAGAUGUGGAGGAACACCGAUGGCGAAGGCAGCCCCCUGGGUCAAGAUUGACGCUCAUG